rnacentral:rRNA from 1 species
AUUGAACGCUGGCGGCAUGCCUAACACAUGCAAGUCGAACGGGGCAGCAAUGCCUAGUGGCGGACGGGUGAGGAAUACGUAGGAAUCUGCCCUUAAGUGGGGGAUAACCAGGGGAAACCCUGACUAAUACCGCAUGAUCUCUUCGGAGCAAAGAGGGGGACCGCAAGGCCUCUCGCUUCUGGAUGAGCCUACGUCUGAUUAGCUAGUUGGUAGGGUAAAGGCCUACCAAGGCGACGAUCAGUAACUGGUCUGAGAGGAUGAUCAGUCACACCGGAACUGAGACACGGUCCGGACUCCUACGGGAGGCAGCAGUGGGGAAUAUUGGACAAGGGGCGCAAGCCUGAUCCAGCAAUGCCGCGUGUGAAGAAGGCCUUCGGGUUGUAAAGCACUUUAGCCUGGAAAGAAAAAACUUUGGUUAACACCCAAAGUCUUGACGGUACCAGGAGAAUAAGCACCGGCUAACUCUGUGCCAGCCGCCGCGGUAAAAC